CGGCGCCGCCGCAGCCCCCGCUGCCGCAGCCGGCCCGGGAGCGCUCCCCGCCGGAGCUGGGGGCGUUUCUUUACCUUUUCACCCUCCUUUUUUUUUUUUUCUCCUCUGGGUUUUUUUUUUUUUUUUCCUCCAGAGGAAGGGUUUCGGGCCGCGGUUUGUAUGUAAACAUUUGAUUCAGGACGGAUUUGCUGCCUUCCAUUAACAGGGGCUCCUUUGUGGGAUGCCGUGGCUUCAUGUCGGGUGAUUAUUCCGUGAAUGGAGGGAGGGAAAAAAUAAAGGUACUGGCCAAUUUCAAAAUAAGAAUUUGUGAUAAUAAUAAUGAUGACAAUGAUAAUAAUAACAACAACAACAAUAGUAGUAAUAUAACAGUAAAAUAAUAGCAAUAACAAUAACAAUAAUAAACAACUGAAAUUCACGUGCAUGUCUUUCGGUAAGUAGGAGGAAAGCAUUCAUUUGAUAAAUCGGGCAGGCAGUAGGAAAUUUGCUUGAAGAAGCUAAAUCCAAGGAUGUAAUGGCUAAACAGAAAACUAAAGGGGUUCAAUCCCACUUAAAAUUUUGGUAGAGUUAUUUAGAAUAAACAAGGUUGUUUUUUUUUUUUUCUGCACAGGGGAGACCGUGAAAUGAUGUGAGCUGUGGCUGCUCAGGAAAACAGUCCAAACAGCAGCAAAAGUUGCAAAAAAAGAAGAUCUGGCUGCAAAGGGUUAACCCCCAGUGUCAUGACCUUCCAGACAGGCAUCAAAAUCCUCAGAAAAAGCAACAAAGGGAGGCAGGAAGCUAGAACCUGUGCAGGACAUGGCGAUGUUUCUGUGGGUAUAAAUACAUACAUGGGCAUGCCUAUAAGGAUGUAUCCUCCUGACAAGAUGCAUUAUUUAAAAACAUUCUGAUGUGGUUUCUCCACUGUGUAAACAGCAAUAUUCCCAUUGAUGUGUUUACUUCCUCUGGUUUCAAUAUUUUGUUUCUAUUUCAGCUUAGACCACCAACAUUGUGGAGUUGCUAGAGCAUGCCUGGAUAUUCUGGGUAAGAGUUUUUUCUUUAAUACCAAUGGAUUUGUGAUUAUUUAUUUUCUAAUUGAACGACACGUGUCCAUGGACUUUCCCUUCAGUUUUGGCUCUAAGGGCUCUGGUACACACUGUAAACAGCUCUUGGCACUGAUUCCCUGGGCAAGGCAAUUGUCCAGUUGAUGUCUGGGAGUCAGCCAGUUGGGGUUGAAAUUAACUUUCACCACCUACAGCUCCUUAAAGCAGCCCACCUAGGGAUUUUGGAAUAGUAGUUUGAAGUAAUCACUCUGAGCUCUCCGAGCAGUCGUUAUAGGUCUUGUAAUUAAAUGUUUACUAUUACUUUAGACCACUUCUACUUUUUAUGUAGGAAUAGUGGCAUGUCCUUCCACACAUCAAUUCCUUUUACAGGGAAUCCAAUACUCCAGGAUUUUUUCUGUUCUGGUUCAUCUUCCUUGCUGCUUCAAUUAAUAAAGCUAGAAUAGCAACAAGGUGCCCUGGCACGUGGCUGCCAGGCCACUGAGCUUAGCCAAAGGUGUUUCCUCUUUCUCUGCAUCCCUUUGUCUCCUAGACUCCUUUUGUGUCCUUUCUGUGAGUAUGUCACCUGCACCUACACUUUCAGUUUAAGUACAUGAUUUAUAUAUACAAUUAAUUUCUUAAAAAGUUUGUGGUUUUAAAAAUACUUUUCUUUCUAAACAUUAAAAAAAAACCAAACCCAAACCCCAAAAGGAUGAAGUAAGUUAAGUUUUACUUGUCAGAUGUGUAGUUCUGCAGCUGAUGGCAGGUUCUACUCCCAGCAUUUUGCAGUGAGCAUACACAGGCUGUACAACGCCAUGCAGCUCACGGGCAGCAUUUUACACCCUUGCAGACAUGGACACAGGGAUUCAAGAGGCAGUCCUGACUUUUGUGCCGUUUUUCCUUACUCUUGUCUAACCGUGGUCUUCCUCUGCACCUUUUCCUCCAGAGGGCGGUACCUCCAUAAAUGUAGAAUGGAUGAAAGCCUGUGUCGGGGGAGAGGGUUUUAAAGGAAGAGUGAAUUGCUGCAUUGCCUGGUGCUGCGAACGACCCAGGGAGGGGUGCUUUAUGAACACACUCACCACGCUGCUUUUAGGAAUCCUGAACUCUCUAAAACAGUGUUUCCUUGUUUCCACUUCUGUAAUGGGACUGUCAUUUGCCACUUAUGUCUUUUUCUUCACCUCUGAGCACUUAGGGGCUGAGAUGAGACAGCAAAGCAAGUGGCUUCUGCUGAAGAAUUUCGAGAGCAGAAUAAAAAGAAGCCCUGUCUUCAUGGAUCAAGUGACAGAUACUUAAAAGAAAAAAGUGACAGAUCUUCUGAGUGAGCCAACAUAUUUGUGUUAAGAGCUGCUGAACAAAUUGGGCUCACAGGAAUGAACAAUCCCACUCUGUAGUACUGAAUCGUGAGGGGCAGAAGAGCCUUGGUCUGCUCAGCCUCUCCCCUUCAGGAGCAAAUCCAACACCUCCAAAAUCAUCCUGUGCUUCUCAACAUUUUUUAGUUGUAACGUGUUGUCCCGGCCAUGGGGAGACUGGAACUACACACAAUAUUCAAGAAGUGAAAAAUCAGUGACGUGCCAGAACUAAGCCAGAGCCUCGUCUCUCCUGCCAUUCCCACUGCCUCGGGGGUUCAGCAGACACCAGAGCUGUGCUCUGGCCCCAAACUCCUGCUAUCCUGGCCUCAGUUUUACAGUGAGGAAAUCCAAGGUGAAUUCUGGGUGCUGCCAGGCUGCCUAUGCCGGCACCUCUGUGGCACGUCCUUCACCCCACUGCAAGCCCAGGAAUGUUCCAGCACAGGGGGGACAUCUAACACAAAGGGAUGGCAGGGACAAGCAAGGGACUGUGCUGUACCUGGCAUAUUUAACAGUGGAGAGGAUAUUUAAGAUGGCCUUAACAUACAUAGCUCUCACUCAAUAAGUACUCAUCCUUUGCUAUUUAGGAGAUGUGUUCUUGCAUUCCAAACUGCCUGGAAGCGUCACGAGCACAGAGACCUUCAUUUGCUAUUAUCUGCUCUUUAGAGAAGUAUUUCAAAUGAGGAACUCUAUUCUCAAUGCAUCAAAAUUCAAAAUGUAUUUUAACUGGGCUGCAUGCACUACAGUUCCCUUACUGAAGCUCAACACAUGAACAUUUUACUGAACUAAAAAUUGUAGCUGUUCUAACAAACCCUUCCAAUUAUGUUCUUUACUUACAGUGGAAAGAAGACUGAAAUAUUUCCUGUAAAAACAUAACAGAUGAAAAAAAUAUACUAUUCUAUUUGGCUAAAACCCAGUCACUGCACUAUUACUGGAUGCUAGAAAUCCCAGGCAAUUAAUGCAAUAAUCCACUAUGUCCUUUCUGUGCCUGUGUUUAUUUCCUUGAUUCUACUUUCAAGCCUUCUAACUUCUUCACUUGUCCUGUCAGCCAUGCUGGGGAAACUUGCACUUACCAAUUCACCCUUCACUGACCAUCCCAAGCUUUGUUUACUUUAGAAACUCCAACUGCCAAUUAAAAUAACACGCUUUAUUUUCAUAAUGCAAUCAGUUCUGGAAUAACUAUUAAAUCCCUAGAAAAAUGGUUUAAAAGCUCUUUACAUCUGUUAGCAAUGACUCACAACUACCUGGGCUUGUAAAUAUGUCUGCACUAAAUAUGGUGUAAGCAUAUUAAAGAAUAGACAGAAUUGCUUUCCACCUUUUUCUUCACAUACCAGUUGUCUCCCCCUCAAGGAAAACGAAAUCAGAAACACUCCAAACUCACUGUUGCCAUGUCAAUAGAUGCUGUGGCUUCAUCCAUGAUGAAGAUGCUCGUCUUCCUCACAAAAGCCCUGGCCAGACAGAACAGCUGCCUUUGACCCUGGCUGAAGUUUUCACCCCCUUCUGUGACUAUUGCAUCUGGAAGUGAUACAGCAAAAGCACUGUUUAUGGGGGAUAUGUGUAUGAGAAGGUCAGAUCAGAAGAUAUGCUUGGAAAACAAUGUCUCACUUUCAGCAUAAAGUAGUAUUUCCUAGGCCUACAGUUGCUGGUGACACAUUUUUCCCUGCUUACUUCCAAAGUUCAAAACAAUGAGUACUUUUGUCUCACUAUAUUCUCUGUAUCUGUUUGACAUCAAAGUAGCUAAGGAUGUUCGAGUUUCUCUGAAACAUGCACAGUGUAGGACACUGCACCCCCAGUCAAAGCAGCAUCCAUCACUUCUUUACCCUAAGGCUGUGUAACUUCCCAUUUUAAGGGGGUUUAUUGGUGGUUUUGUGCUUGUAUCUUGUUAGGUGUUUGGUGGGGUUUUUUUUGGUUUUUUUUUUUUUUCCUGCAUGGCCAAAUAAUUCACACCUUGAAGCUUUAGAAAUUUUCCUUAAGAAAUCUUCCUCCCUGGACUUGACUAUUGGAAAAUACAGAAGAUCGUGUUCUAGAUAACACCUGCUUUGUUGACACCUUAUUUGAAUUCCCAAGACCCAUAAACCUCAGUGCUUCAUAAAAAAGACAUACUGAAAUAAAAUAAUUUUACCACUGAUUUGAAAAGAAAGAGGAUUCUGCCUCACAGGUACAGUUGGUAAAGGAGUUAUACAGAUAUAGCACAUUUGCCUGCAGGCACUUUUUUGUCACCUUCCGUAAACAUUAAAAGCUCUUUCUUCAUCAACUACCCUUUUAAUAAAUAAGUGUGAAACAGGAAUAUUGUGAAUGCUGGAAACAAUAGUCUCAAAAGGAAGUCUCAUUACCUAGGCCCCCAGGUAGUGCCUUCACCACAUGCUUGAGCUGUGCUAUUUCCAGUGCUUCCCAGAGCAUGCUGUCAGUGCACUUCUUCUCAGGGUCCAAGUUAAACCUGCAUCGUGGGUAAUUCAAGAACAUCAGUCAGCAGAAACUGCUGCAAUGGAUUUCUUCUUUUAGUGUGCAGAUACGGAGAAUCCUGUGCUGAAGAUCUAGGCCUGAUUCUGAUCUCUCAUUGGUAUAAAUCCACUGAAUUUUCCAGUCUUAGUCAACAUUUAUGUCAAUGUGAUUAAGAUGAAACUUUGACUCUCAGUUGAGCAGAAAGGGAAAAGCUUCCUGUUUUGUGGAUAUCUUUAUGGUUUUAGAAUUUAUUAUGUUCUGUAUAAACUAAAGAAAUGCUCGUUUUACUCAAAAAAGCUGUGACUGUACUCAUUUUAAAUUAACAUUCAGUUUUAACAAAGGCCAAAAUUCUACCCUCUCUCUUUCUAAAUACAAUAUCUCUUUGUUCUUCACUGCUAUAGGAACAUUAACAGAAUAAUCAAGCCUCAUACUGCAUUAUGAAAUUUAAGUCUUCACUGCAACUGAAAAAAUCUUGGAUUCAUGAACAGAUGAACAUUAUUUUAGCUUGCUGUGGCCCAGAAGUGACAGCAACAAAUGUGAAUCUCACAUCAUACUACACUGACAUAUGGAAUGACAAUAAAAGAUUCAAUGGUGCAUAACACAA